CUGUCCCCAUUGCUGGGACAUCUGUUUCAGCAGAAAUGGGACGAUGAGGCCGCAGAGGACCUGCCCUGCCCUGUUCCGAGGGCUUUCGCUGACACAUGAGAAAGCCAUUUGCACAGCAGCAAUCAGAAGGCGUGGUGAUAGGGCGGGGGCGUGGCCCCAGCUCGCCCUCCGAUGGGAAGACCAGGGGAGCCCCACAUGGCAAGGAGGCCCUGCCGGCCCCUCCUGUGCUUUCUGGAACUCCCUGGGGCUCCCUGGUGACCGGUCACUCACCAAGGUACCUGGAUAGCCACUCAGUCCUCCCUCCCAAUCCCUGAGGUUCCUGGGCACAUGGCCAUGUUCACGGUGACACCAGACAAUGACCAAUGACUCGAGGUUUUGGCCCUGUGAUCUCCAGGCCCUGGAAUGAGGAGAGGCUCUCUCUCUGCCUACCUCCUCUUCUGCAAGCCUCAGUCGCUCCAUCGGUGACAUGGGAACGAUGACUCUUCCCUCAAAUGGCUGAGGCUGCGGAGACGAUGCACCUGUAACAGCGCGAUGCCCGCCACACCCAGUGCUCUGUCAGCCAUCGCUGUGAGGACGGAUGAGUGGGGCAUCUUCGUAUUGCAUGAUUUUUUGGACAUGAAGUCCUGGAAGCUGAGACGGGAGCCAGGGCGGGAGAAGUCAGCACCCGAGCACCUUCGGGAGUUUUCGGCUGAGAGGGGGCAGGCGGGAGCCUCCUGCUGUGACCUCCUGGUGCGCAUCUGCAGAAAUGCACUGAACUGAGCCCUUCCUAUUCGUGCACGUGACCGAACAUAAGUUACACCUCUACGCAAAGCCCAGACAAAGGUCAAGACGGAGACGUGCUGCCAAAGCCUCUAUCUGCAGGAUAAGCGAGAGCCGGCCUGUGAGGAGGGGGAAGGCAGCCUGGAGGCGGAGCCGGCAGGUGCAAAGGCCCUGAGGCGGGGGUGCUGCCUCUCCUCUAGGCUCUGGUCUCCUCUGAUGGUGCCCCAAACCAGGAUUCUCCUGGCCUCUUCCCAUGCAUUUGUGGGUUUCCACGAAGGCCUUGGGACAGGAUGCUAGAGUCGUUUCAGCAGCUGUGUCGUCAGCCUGUGUUUGAACGCCCUGCCUGUGAGCUGUCGCUGGAGGAGCUACGGCCCAGAGGGGGAUGGAAUCUGCACUCAGAGCUCAGCUGCGCCAGCACCCGCGUGUGCUUAGCUAAGCCCCUUCUCCCUCCUGUCCCUCAGCUUCCUCUUCUGGCAGAGGGGUCUCUCGUCUAUGGGGUUUUAGUUCAGAGUUGGGGUGAAGGUCUGAAGGCCAGGGCCGCCCAGAACCUGCGGCCCUUCAAAGCCACCCAGCAGGGCCCCACUGGGGGUCUGCUCACCUGCCACGUGGAGUUCGAGCCACCACGCCCACAGUGCCUGGCACAUACCUGGAGUCCCAGGGAUGUUGGCUCGUGGCGCUCAGCACUUGCUCCAUGCCAAGCUCACCCCUCACCCCCGUGUGACCCUGCCAACUACUACCUCCCAUUUUACAGUGAGAGAGACUGAGGCACAGAGAUUGAGUGAGCAGGUCACGUGGUUCACAAUCACUGACGGAGCCUGGCUGUGGCUUCCCUGUUCCUAACCGCACCUGCCCUACAGCCAGAGUCCACGGUGCUGCCCAGGCUGGCCUUCCUGGAGCUUCCUCCACUGGGAGACCUAGAGAAGGUGCUGGAAGCAAUUGGGGCUCUUCCAGGGCUGCUGACCGAGAUCGGCGCCGUCAGGGCAGCCAGUGGGACAGGCUGGCGCCUCGGCUUCGCUGGAAUCCACGCCCUUUUCAAGGAAGGUGAACCCACCCAGGAUAAUUGCAGUGCCAACCGGCGGCUUAGGCGGCUCGUAAGCCCAGAGGUGUCCGUGGAGGAUGAGGCCCUGCCACGUGCACGCGUCACCUUUGCCAGGGCUUUUCUGGCUGGUACUGGCAUCAUUGUUUUUUUUGGUAGGGAGGAGGCAGGGGAUUAAUCUGCAGCCGCAGCAGCCGUGGACUUGCAGCCACUCCCUUCCUCUGUACCACCAUGUUUCACUGAUCUCAUUCUGUUCACCAUGCAGAAACCUGAUGGAAUGUUCUAGAAACUCCAGCCCCAGGCUGAGGAUGGGGGAUACACUCAAGGUUCCUGGAAAGGAGUCCUGGGUGUGGGAUGCUUUUUUACCCAACCUGUUUUUUUUCUACAUUUAUAGACUGUUUACAUUUGCUUAAGCAAAAAUACAAAAAAAAAAAAAACCGAGGAGAAAAAUUAUGG